UCGGGUUUAUACUUUCAAGAAAGUUGGGUUUCUAAAGUGGCAGAAGCGAGAAAUGCAGCUUAUCACUACUUUUCUAACAUGUUUACAACUAAUACAAUUAUAAGGCCCAUGUUGAGUGGUGAAUCAAUUAGGAAAUUAUCAGAAUCUGAAAGGCUUGGUUUAGAAGCGUCUUUUUCUGAAGAAGAAAUAAAGGAAGCAGUUUGGAGUUGCAGCUCAUCCAAGUCUCCUGGGGCGGAUGGGUACACAAUAGAUUUUUACAAAUAUUGUUGGGAAACAAUUAAAGAAGACUUAAUCAGAUUUUUCCAAGACUUCUAUGUUAAUGGUAAAUUGUCUAAAGGUAUGAAUUCUAGCUUCAUAACAUUGAUCCCAAAGAUUCUGUCACCUUAAAGUCUGUCCGAUUAUAGGCCAAUAUCCUUUAUUGGUAGUGUUUAAAAGGUUGUAAUAAAACUUCUUUCUUUAAGGAUGAGGCGUGUUAUGCAUUCUAUCAUUAGGUAAAAUCAAACAGCGUUUGUGGAAUUUUAAUAUGCAAUGAGUUAAUUCAUGACCAAAAGAAAAGGAAGAUCAAAUCUGUUUUUUUCAAGCCUGAUCUCUAGAAGGCUUAUAAUUCGGUGAACUGGAACUUUCUACUUUCUAUGAUGGAUAAAAUGGAUUUUGGGGAAAGAUGGAGAAGCUGGAUAAAGGAGUGCCUAGAGACCUCCAGAUUAUCGGUUUUGGUAAAUGGUUGUCGAAGGAAUUUGCUAUGUGUAGGGACCUCAAGCAAGGAGACCCACUUUCGCCAUUUCUUUUCCUUAUUGUGGUUGAAGGACUUAACCUUCUUAUGAAAAACUCGAUUGAAAAAGGUUUUCUAUCGAGAGUAAAAGUGGGGGAAGAUGAGAUAACUGCUUCCCAUUUACAAUUCGCAGAUGACUUGAUGAUAUUUAAUGUUGCAAAUGAGGUUCAGAUUCGCAAUUUGAGGACAAUUUUUUUGUGUUUUCAAUUCCUUACGAGCUUAAAAAUAAACUUUAGCGAAAGUAAGUUAUUUGGUUUGAACAUCUUUGAAACAGAAUUGAAUAACCUUGCAGCUUCUUUGGGUUGUAUUCCGGAUGUCUUGCCUUCAUCUUACUUGGGCAUUCCCAUUGGUAGCAAUCCUAGAAAGCUUGUUUCAUGGAAAGCAGUGAUUCAGAAGUUUGAAAUAAGAUUGUCGUCGUGGAAAGCUAGAAAAUUUUCUUUCUGAGGUAGUGUUGCUUUGUUGUCUUCAUUACCCUUGUGUUGUAUGUCAAUUUUCAAAGCUCCAUCUUCUGUUAUUAAAAAAUUGAAUCAAUCCAGAGACGGGUUUUAUGGGCUAAAGGGCCGGAAAAUGAGAGGCCUUUAAUUUGGGUUGUUAUGAGCUCUACCUGCUGCAGCAAGACUUUGGGUGGGGUUGGCAUUCCGAACUUGAAACGUAAAAACUUAUCUCUCUUCGAAAAAUGGUGGUGGUGGUUUAGAUUUGAAAAUGGCUUUUUAUGGAAAUGCAUUAAUUUCUAAGUAUGGAAAUGAGUGGACAUGGAAUUCAAAUCUGGGGUCAAAAUAUUGGAAAAAACUAUCUCUAGUUUGGCGAGAUAUAUCUUCGAUUGGCACUUCUUCUCUUAAAAUCAUUUUUAAGGGGGGAUUCAGGUGGUUUCUAGGAAGUGGUAAUUUUAUUAAUUUUUGGUUGGAUCUUUGCAUUGAUGAUCUACGUCUCUCUUCUUUGUUCCCCAGACUUUUCAGUUUAGCAAAAAAUAAAAGGAGCAAGAUUUGCGAAUGUGGUUUCUUUAAUAAUGGCAGAUGGGUUUGGCAAAUAAAAUGGCUGCGUGAUUUUAGAAGUUUUGAGGAUGAAUAUUGGGCUCAAUUAAAACGAAGAUUAGAAGGGCUGUCAAUUAUUCCCAAAUCUGAAAACCAAUUAAUUUGGACUUUCAGCAAGCAAGGCAAAUUCUCGGUAAAAAAUUUAUCUUCCUUGAUGGAACAGUUUGAGUUGGGUGAGGGAUUGUUUCUGUCCUUUCUGUGGCACGGAUGUUGAAUCAGUUGAUCAUGUUCUCCUAUUUUGUUCUUUUGCAAGAAAUGUCUAGAUGGGUGUGCUGAGAUGGUGGGGUGUUUUUCGUGUUCUGCUUCUUUCUUUGGAAAAUAUAAGCCAGCAAUGGCAGAGUAUUGUCUUGGUUAAAGCGUGUCAUGCUAUCUAAAAUUCUAUUAUGUUUUUAACUUUGUAGUCGAAUUGGUUAGCUAGAAACAAAGUUGUAUUUUGUGAUAUAAGACAGAAUCCGAAAAAAGGUUGUUGAUAUGCUUAAAUUUAGAAGCUUCGAGUUGUUGAAGGCUAAAAAUCUUUUUCUUUCUUUCACUCUCAGCAACCAGUUUUUACUUUCCAUCGAAGUCUACAGGUCAAGUUGUUCUGCUGGGACUACAGCAAUCGGUCCUAUGAAGUCGGUGGUUUAGGGAGCGCCAGAUAAAGUCUUGCUGAAGUUUAAUAUCGAUGGAUCUUCUUCUGGUAAGCCGAGUCCAAUAAGGGUUGGAGGCAUGCUAAGGGAUAGCAAUGGAUUGUUAAAUGUAUUUUUUAUCACUCAGUCGGUAUUUUGGAUUCAAACGAGGCGAAAAUCCUUACUUUCUUUUAGGCUAUUGAGUUUUAUUGGAAUUCAUAUGUUAAGAACUUUCCUUUAAUUGUGGAGUCAGACUCUAAAAAUGCUUGUACUGGGUUAUUCAAAAGAUGAAGAGGUUGUGGAAAUGGUGGGAGAAGUUUAACAAGUUGAAUUAGAUUUUGUCUCAACUCAGUCAGGUUCAAUUUGUUUUCGAUCCAAGAGAUGGCAAUCAUUUUGCAGAUUCUUUAGUUAACAAAGAUGAUACGGCUUCAAGUCCAUUCUUAGAUUGAAUUUAGUUUCAUCAUAUUCUUUCUCUUAGCUUAGAUUUAAUUUCAUCAUAUUCUUUUGGAUUUCUCUCUUUAUCAUAUCCGCGGUUCUAGAUUUUUUCCGUUUCUAGCACUCCUCUUGUCUUAAGAGAGGUUUCUAGUGUGAUUCUACUGCUCUGUUUCUUUUCUUUUGGAUUUUCUUGUCAAAUUCGAGUCAGGAUUUGGAUGUAUAGGGUAAACUAUUGGCUUAGGUGUAAUUGCUCGAGUUUGAUAAGUUUUUCCUAUUAUUAUUCUUAAUAAAUUUUAAUAUUCUGAUUGCUGAUUAAAAA